rnacentral:piRNA from 1 species
UCACGCUAGAAGGAGGUUGGGUGGAUGU